rnacentral:lncRNA from 1 species
AAGGCCUGAGGGAAGGAAGGCUUUCAAACACUGCCCUUAUUUCUCCUGAAAUACUCUGAUCUUUUCAAAGAAAACAGAAAGGCAUUUUCUUUAAGUGAGUAUAAACUCAAAUGCACAAUUUGAAAAUCAUGUUGCUUACCCAGUCUAAAUACACUCCAUUUAAUUCACAGCUUCUUACUUUGCAAAAAAGAAGCUAUGUAAACCGGAGUGAAUACCGUUUCUUUAAUCACCAUCUCCUUUUCCUCAGGGCUAUACCCAGCUAGUCAGAGGCUAACACACACUUUUGCUAUGGGGGGAAAAUGGAAAGAAUCAAAUGCUGAGACCUCAUUAGGCGCUGCUUAUGCUACUUACACAGUCUCCACACUUGCUUCCUCUGCACUGUUAAUGAUCCUGACCAUAUGCUGGUAUAGCAGAGCCUUGGGGCAUGAGGGGCUAGGAAGACCUGCUUUCCCUUGUAGGGCUCAGGCCUGUGAGUCUCUCUGCAUAGGGUCCAUGUGUUACAGUGGAAAUGAAGGGAGGGUUCUAUCAAACUGAUCUAUGUGAGACCCACUCUGUGACAUGAGAGACCCUAGGCAAGUUAUGCAGCUACAAUUUUUUUAAUUCUAAAAUAGGUCUUGCUGGGUGCAGUGGUGCAUGCCUAUAAUCAGCUGUUCAGGAGGCUGAGGCAGGAGGAUUGCAAAUUUGAGGCCAGCCUCAACAACUUAGA